CGGGGCGUAGCGCAGCCUGGUAGCGCACUUGGUUUGGGACCAAGGGGUCGAAGGUUCAAAUCCUUUCGCCCCGA
rfam:Helicobacter bizzozeronii CIII-1 main chromosome, complete genome